rnacentral:rRNA from 1 species
GUUUCUACAGUUUGAUCCUGGCUCAGAUUGAACGCUGGCGGCAUGCUUUACACAUGCAAGUCGAACGGCAGCACGUGGGCAACCCUGGUGGCGAGUGGCGAACGGGUGAGUAAUACAUCGGAACGUAUCUUCAAGUGGGGGAUAACGCACCGAAAGGUGUGCUAAUACCGCAUAAUCUCUUAGGAGAAAAGCAGGGGAUCGCAAGACCUUGCGCUUUUAGAGCGGCCGAUGUCUGAUUAGCUAGUUGGUGAGGUAAAGGCCCACCAAGGCGACGAUCCGUAGCUGGUCUGGGAGGAUGAUCAGCCACACUGGAACUGAGACACGGUCCAGACUCC